CCUACGGGAGACAGCAGUGAGGAAUAUUGGUCAAUGGCCGGAAGGCUGAACCAGCCAUGCCGCGUGAAGGUCAGUGCCCUAUGGGCGUUAAACUUCUUUUGUGCGGGAGCAAUAAUGGUCACGUGUGGCCAGACGAGAGUACCGUACGAAUAAGCAUCGGCUAACUCCGUGCCAGCAGCCGCGGUAAUUCGGGGGAUGCAAGCGGUAUCCCGAUUUAUUGGGUUUAUAGGGUGCGUAGGCUGUGAGGUAAGUCAGCGGGGAAAUGCCCGCGCUCAACGGGGUGAAGUGCCAUUGAUACUGCCGAGCUGGAAUGCGGAAGCAGUGGGAGGAAUGUGUGGUGUAGCGGUGAAAUGCAUAGAUAUCACACAGAACACCGAUUGCGAAGGCAUCUCACGAAUCCGCGAUUGACGCUGAUGCACGAAAGCGUGGGUAUCAAACAGGAUUAGAUACCCGAGUAGUC
rnacentral:rRNA from 1 species